rnacentral:lncRNA from 1 species
CAACAUGGAGAAACCCCGCCUCUACUAAAAAUACAAAAUUAGCCGGGCGUGGUGGUGCAUGCCUGUAAUCUCAGCUACUCUGGAGGCUGAGGCUGAGGCAGCAGAAUCGCUUGAACCCGGGAGGCAGGGGUCGCAGUGAGCCGAAAUCGCGCCAUUGCACUCCAGCCUGGGAAACAAGAGCGAAACUCCGUCUCAAAAAAAAAAAAAGAAAAGAAAAAGAAAGAAAGAAAAAAAAAAGCACUUCCAGCCUCAUAAUGCGAUAAUGCUAAGGAGGGCUGUGGGCAUAAGGCUCGGGAAAGCAGCCCAUGAGGAGCAGGUGCAAUGCCCAUACGCCCUUGGUGCAGUGUCUUGUCUGUUUAUUCUGACUGAGGCUAUUAAGAGUUAGCGCUAGUUGUUCUGUUUUGCAAAUUUCUUGGUCAUACAGACUGUGAACAAAUGUGAACCUGAAAGAGCCAAUCCGUCAACAUCCAGAGCGGCUAACUGGGUCUAAAUUUAAAAUAGAGACACGUGGUCAUUUACCUACUAGAGGUCACACAUGGACUCUGCGUUCUCCCCAAACCCACACCUCUGUUGAGUGUUGGGUCUUAUAGGGCUCACCUGCCUCAACCAAUCAGGGCUCAGCUGUAUCAACCAAUCAGAACUAAGUGCGGUUCAAUCGUUCAUUUGUAUAAACGAACCUGACUGGGAACCUGGGCAGAAACUUUUGCUGUAAAACCCAAACCCUCCCUUUGUUCUCUGGAAUGCACCUUUGUUUUACACCUAAGGCUUCAACUCCCCAGUUUGCAAACUGUUCCCUGAAAUAGUUGCUUUGCUCCAAAUUCCUCUUCAGAAAACGUUUGUUCACAACACAUACCAGGAGCUUGUCUAAAACUAUUGUAUCCUGCAAAUCCUAUUAACUGUAAGGCCGCCAAAAGCACCUAUAUAGGUUUUGCUCCAAAGUUUGAAAACUGAAGAGAAACCACCCUAUGAUUCAUCUGACAAAUGCUUUGCUACAAAUCUGGAAUAGGGUAAAUUGGAAUUACACUGACACAUUCCGUAAGUGCUUAAGUAGAAUCUGAACUUAAGUGCUGCAGAGAAGCUUGAAGAUUAUGUAGUCUUAUUCUACAUAUUUAAGGAAUCUGAAACCUAUACACAAACCAUUUUCGUAUAGAUUAGUAGCAGACCAUCAUUAAAAUCCUGAUCUCUUAACUCCCAUUACAAUGUUUUUGCUCCAGGCUGCUUUCUGCACACCCAGUUUAUAAAUUGCUGGGAUAAAACAGUGAAUGUAUACAAUAUUUAGAUACACACAAAUUACUUCCCACUUGGGGCUUUUGAUUUUCAACUUUUUUUUAACUUUAAAAAAAAAACAGAGAAACUGGGCCUUUGUGGAAAUCUGAAAGUAUAAUACAAAACCCUGGAUUUUAAACUUAUUUACUUUUGGAAGCCUUUCUUUCACACAAAUUUCAAUGCUCCUUAGAAAUUCAUUGAGGAAAGAUAAGGAGCAACAGACUUGAAGAGAAAACCAUCUUUUCCCCAAAAUAGGGCACACUCACUACCUUAGCAGUUCAUCAUCUCAAGCUUCUGGUAACUUUGAAUACUGGGAGUCAUCCUAGACUUGCUUUCCCUUGUCCCUUUAAGCUGAGAAACCCACGAAUCCCAUGGACUUUUUUAAAAAAAUUUCUUUUGUCAUUUUCCCCCUUUUGUUCUAUUCCUACUUUUACCAUAUUGUUUCCAAAUCUUACAUUAUCUUCUAAAGACAGGGUUUAUGCAUUUCUUUCAUAUAAAAUGUUAAAGUCCAGGUUCUCCCACUAUACAGAAAUAUGUGAGAUUUUAUAUGCAUGAAAGAUAAUAAUGUAAAGGAUACUUUGUGCUGUCGGGGAUUUCAGGAAAAUCUGUUAGCAAUCACUUUGCUAAACACAUACACACCUCUGCAGUGAAAUUAUUCUCCUGACUACCAUGAUCCUACUAAACUUUUAGACUCUGAAUGAAUUAUACCUUAAAAACUUGUCAAGUUGGCCGGGCGUGGUGGCUCAUGCCUGUAAUCCCACCACUUUGGAAGGCCGAGGUGGGCGGAUCACCUGAGGUUGGGAGUUCAAGACCAGCCUGACGAACAUAGAGAAAGCUCGUUUCUACUAAAAAUACAAAAUUAGCCAGGCAUGGUGGCACAUGUCUGUAAUCCCAGCUACU